rnacentral:antisense_RNA from 1 species
CUUGAUCGACCCGAGCCAGAGCGGCUCCCCGCCGUUGCGGUCCUGCCCGUAGGUGGCCAGCAGUGCCUGGGCCUC